UGAAAAUUCGAAAUUACGUAAAAUUUUUAACGUAUUCUUCCUUUUCGCGAGGAAAGGAAAAUGGUAAUUUUUAAAAUGUUGGCAAUAGUUCUAGAUUCGCGAGAAAAGGAAUGAUAAUUUUUAAGAUGUUGGCAGUAAUUAGCAUCUCUAUCCUGUAUUCUCGACAUCGAUUUCCUAUUGGUUCCAGUGAAUUGUUUCAUGUAACCAGAUCGUGCAUGUGUCAUAAUACUUUGAAUGAAAAAAAAAAAAAACGAAUAAGAAAAUGAUAUGUUGAAAUAAUAUACGAAGAGGAGAUUGCACGCGUUUGCGCUGAUAGGAUGUUGUCCUAGGUCAGGUCCGAGCAUGCUUGGUACAUGCACUGUUACGGAUGAUCGAUAUGAUGGUUACCGGCUAAUAUCAUCAGCUGAUUGGUUGAUCAUAUGCCAAAACGAUUCGAUUCGUCAGGUGGUUUCAUUCAGCUUUUUCACUGACUUCAUUAGUACAUUCGUAUAUAUACAUAUAUAUGUAUAAGAUAUAAAAAAAAAGAAAAGUGUUCAGAAUGUAAUGUAAAUGCUCAUUUAAUGUAAUAAAACGUUUAAAUAUUAAAUAAAUGGGAAUAAGUAAUCUGUUUCCAACUCUCGAUUUUAAUAUAUAUUCCGAAAAAACAGAAGAGGUCAAGUAAUACACACUUGUUGUAACUACGUUUACGCCGCGUAAAAAUAAAAGUUUGACGUAAGAAAGUAACUUAAAAGUAAUUGAUCAUGCUGUGACGUAUGGUAAGAACGUCAUUGUCUCUACGUCUUUUAGUUAAUGACGACGAUUCUAUAAAUACCAUCGAUAGCCUUCGUUACAAAACUAUCGACUUCCGAUUUGAAUUGGAACGUCUAGAGGUUUUCUUAUGGUCAUCAAACUACUCUACACUAUACUGGAUUGUUAAAUGGUUAUAAUUUUUUCAUAAUGCGUCUAUCUUCGUCACGAUCUACUGGUGAAUUAUUCAUUAUAUUUAUUCGUCAAUAUUUAUUCGUAAACAUUAAUUAUUUAUGAAAUUAAAAAAGAGGAAUCUGAAUAUGAUCGUGUGUUUGAUAAAGACAGCUUCCCCAAGUCGUAUUGAACGAGCAGGCUUGGUCGUCAAGUCUGGUGGCGUUUCUGCCGAGGGCAACGCCCUCGCCAGCCCUCUCAUCCCCAUUCAGAAGAAACGUCGAAGAAAAAGAGGGAUGUCCCGAGGACGGGAAGGGUAAGCUUUCAACAGGGGUGGAAAUUACAGACAAGUUACAGCGAGUCGAUUCACUGUGCUCGAGCCAGUUCUACAGAUUGCUGAGUGGAUGUUGGGGACUGGAACGAAGUGGUGGAUGGUUUUAUGGUCGUCGAUGAUCCCGAUGCAACCGCCGAUUUCUCCGAUCUUUUUCGCCGAUCCUCGUUCGUGUAAUAACGGGAGUAGGGCGAAUUGUCCCACACCUGGGGUAUCUCGUAUCCCAGUUCAUUCACAGCGCCAUAACUGGAACAGAAAUUCUGCUUAUUAAUAUAAUUAAAUUUUAAAAAUAUGUAAAACUUGUUUCGUUAAACUUACUCGUAAUUUUUACGAUCGUAGAAGGCAUUGUUGAGCGUAUUGGAACGAGAUGGUUUCUCCUCUUCGAUGAGAGCUGCUUUUAAUCCGCCUAAUCCUGACGCGGCUAGAGUUCCUUGGAUCGAGACAAGGAAUUAUGAUAAAUCAAAAUGCUCGGAGAUUUACGAUGGGAGAAACUUACUCUUUUCCGCGGUGGACGAAUAGGACGAGCUAGGAUUGUUCUCUGGUUGAUGGUUCUGUUGGUUGCCGAACAUCAACAUUUCCUGUGCCCGUUUAGCUAAACAGUCAAAACAGGAUUAACAGGUUUGUUGGCAAGGAUUGGACAAUCAUGAGGAGGGAGCACAGAGUGAGUAGUAACCACACCCAAUCGCACAUCAUCUGUGAAGAAAGAUUGAUCCUUUUAUAUUAUCCUUUUAUAAUUUUUAUUCAAUUUUAUACUGGAGGGUAUAAUAGGUCUGAUACAAGUAUAUAUAUAUAUUGGCUAAGGUUAUGCAAAGGGUUUCUUGACCCUUUAAUCAAACGUGAAAUUGAUUGUGCAGUUAGAAGGGUUGCUAUAAAGUGUUUCCCCUCGUGCACACACGUUGACGUUUACACCCCUCGCAGUUAAAUGAAGAUAGCAGGUCACAACGAAAGAAUCUUAAAUGUCACACAAAUGCGAAAUGUCAGGAAUCUAUUUCCAUUGCAUGUGAAAAAUUAAAGGGCAUAUACGUCGCAACGUUCCAUAG